rnacentral:lncRNA from 1 species
UCCCGCGGCACGCGAAAACAGAGCUAUUUUGGGCUGUUUUGGGGCUGUUUUGCUCGGUUCGGUGAACGGUCGCUUUGCAACGCUGCAGCUUGUUCGAACUUACAUAUUUACAAGCAAAAUGACCCAAAACCAUAAGAAAACAUGCUGCCAAGCAGCUGUACAUGCGGGUGUGAGCGACGAACGAUUCGUUGAACGGAGUUGUUGCGGGUGCGCGACGACCGUUCGUGACAGA